CGAGCGAUGUGAAGAGACUCCAAUGUCCCCUCGAUGCCUGGCCCGCGGCGGACAGGACUGUCCUCCAGAGACGCCAGGCCCCGCUGACUGGAGUGACACUCCCUGGGCGGUCUGACGUAUCCCAAGAUACCCUUGAACUCACCAAGCUGACCUUGAACUCAGUAUGUGUCCAACGGUGACUCUGAGCUGGAACCUCCUGCAUCCAUUUCCUGUGUGCUGGGACUACCGAUGAGUGUCUCCACGACUGGUCUGUGUGCCGCCAGAGCUAGACAAGAGCUCUGUCUACUGGGCCACAUCCCCAGUCCUGGCUUUCCUGAUUCUGAGGCCAGGUGCAAGACAGUGAACCCCAGAAGUGGUGCUCCUGGUUCUCAGACUCCAUCACCACAAGAACGCAUUCUCCCAAUAAAUCCUCAUAUAGACAGAAACAGCCUUAAUAGCUCUGUCUUUAGGGGGAAGCCUAAUGCAGGUACAAACACAGCAGCUGGAUAGACAGGUUGCAGUUCGGUGGAGAGAGCUGCACUGAGUGAAGACUUCUAAAAGGCAUUUUUCUUGUGGGUGGAAAUGGAAACUGGGCUUACGUAACCCCAGACAAAUUACAAAAUGAACACAAGAAGGCUUGUGGUAGUCUAAGAUAGCCUCUGGGCAUUCCUGGUAUUUGAGUCCUGCCAUAGUCCCCUCCCACACUGAGUCAGGGCUGGUCUGUAACAAGCAUUGGCAAGCCUAGGUCAUAGCAUUCACGGAGGAAAACUUGUAGAGAAAGGAUGCUGGUGACCUGUCUGCUGUGUGCUGUCUAGAUGGAGAAAUUUCCUUGCUUGGCCUCUGAAAUUCUGGAUUUAGCCAGUGUAGUGGCUACACCUGUAUUGUCUGUAUUCGGGAGGUUGGUACAGAAGCAUUGUCAUGAGUUUGAGUCUAGUUGUGGUGAAAUAGUGAAUUCUAGACCAGCUCGACUACAAUCUGAGACCCUAGCUUAAAAAAAAAAUUCAAGAAUGGGGUUGAAGAAUUGGCUCAGGAGUUCAGAGCACGAAUUACCCCUGAGGAGGACCUGGGCUUGACUCCCAGUUACCCACAGUAGCAAGCUUUCUUUUGGGCUACCAACCAGUUCCUAAAUCAUGACACAGACAAUUUUUUUCUUCUUUUUGGUUUUUCAAGAUGGGGUUUCUCUGUGUAACAGCCCAGGCUGUCCUGGAACUCGCUUUGUAGACCAGGCUGUCCUCGAACCACAGAAAUCAACCUGAUACAGAGACUUAGUAGUUAUGAAUGCUCAGCCUUCUCUGAUGCUUGUCCCAUUAGCUCUUCAACUUAUUUUAACCUGUUUCUCUUCCCCUACGUUUUGCCUCAGGGCUUUUUACCUUUCUUUCAUUCCGUUUGUCCUACUCCGUGUCUGGCUGGCUGGAGGCUGCCUGGGUAACUGGCCCUGGACAUCUCCCUCUCUUUCUCCAUGGUUCUCUCUCCUCUACUCUCUUGAGCCUAGAUUCCUCCUCCUACUUAUUCCCUCUGCCUACCAACCCCACCUAUCACUCUACUGCCUAUCCACCUUUCAACUUUUUAUUAGACUAAUCAGGUGCCUUAGGCAGGCAAGGUGAAACAGCAACACAUCUUUACAUAAUUAAAGAAAUGCGUCAUAAACAAAUGUUACAGAUCUUUGCCUAUUAAAGUAAUAUUUCACAACAUUUCCCCCAUUUUUGUCUAAAUAAAGAGAAAGAUUUUAAC